GACGAACGCUGGCGGCAUGCCUAACACAUGCAAGUCGAACGAGAACUUCGGGUCUAGUGGCGCUCGGGUGCGUAACGCGUGGGAAGCUGCCCUUAGGUUCGGCAUAACUGCCAGCAAGGGGUGCUAAUUCCAGAUAAUGUCUUAGAACCAAAGAUUUAUCGCCUUUGGAUGGGCCCGCGUAGGAUUAGCUAGUUGGUAGGGUAAAAGCCUACCAAGGUGACGAUACAUAGCUGGUCUGAGAGGAUGAUCAGCCACACUGGGACUGAGACACGGCCCAGACUCCUACGGAAGGCAGCAGUGGGGAAUAUUGGACAAUGGGCGAAAGCCUGAUCCAGCAGUGCCGCGUGAGUGAGGAAGGCCUUAGGGUUGUAAAGCUCUUUGACCCGGGAUGAUAGUGACAGUACCGGGAGAAUAAGCGCCGGCUAACUCCGUG
rnacentral:rRNA from 1 species